GAAGGUAUAGCUCAGUGGUAGAGUGAGUGCUUAGCCUCCAAGAAGUCCUGGGUUCAAUCCCCAGUACCUCCA
rnacentral:tRNA from 1 species